rnacentral:tRNA from 1 species
GGAAGUAUAUCUCAAUGGUAGAGCAUUUGCCUAGCAUGCAAGAGGCCCUGGGUUCAAUACCCAGUACCACAA